GGAGUUGUGCCUGAAGUAAAGGGCCACUUUGAUAGAGUGACACAUGGGGGUUAAAGUCCCCCCAGCUCCU
rnacentral:tRNA from 1 species